GAUCAACGCUGGCGGCGUGCCUAACACAUGCAAGUCGCACGUCCUGGACGCUUUCGGGCGCACAGGGAGUGGCGGACGGGUGAGUAACACGUGGGUACCUACCCUUAAGUGAGGAAUACCGGCGAGAAAUCGCCGACAAGACCGCAUACGCUCCGAGCAGGAGCAAAGCCCGCGAGGGCGCUUGAGGAUGGGCCUGCGGCCGAUUAGCUAGUUGGUGAGGUAAUGGCUCACCAAGGCGACGAUCGGUAGCUGGUCUGAGAGGACGAGCAGCCACACU
rnacentral:rRNA from 1 species